rnacentral:rRNA from 1 species
GAUGAACGCUGGCGGCGUGCCUAAUACAUGCAAGUCGAGCGAACGGACGAGAAGCUUGCUUUUCUGAUGUUAGCGGCGGACGGGUGAGUAACACGUGGAUAACCUACCUAUAAGACUGGGAUAACUUCGGGAAACCGGAGCUAAUACCGGAUAAUAUUUUGAACCGCAUGGUUCAAAAGUGAAAGACGGUCUUGCUGUAACUUAUAGAUGGAUCCGCGCUGCAUUAGCUAGUUGGUAAGGUAACGGCUUACCAAGGCAACGAGUCAUAGCCGACCUGAGAGGCUGAUCGGCCACACUGGAACUGAGACACGGUCCAGACUCCUACGGGAGGCAGCAGUAGGGAAUCUUCCGCAAUGGGCGAAAGCCUGACGGAGCAACGCCGCGUGAGUGAUGAAGGUCUUCGGAUCGUAAAACUCUGUUAUUAGGGAAGAACAUAUGUGUAAGUAACUGUGCACAUCUUGACGGUACCUAAUCAGAAAGCCACGGCUAACUACGUG